rnacentral:lncRNA from 1 species
CUUUUCAUGGUAGAUACCCUUUGACCUCCAGGUAAAAACGACAUUAUGCACUUCCACUGUUUACAUCAUUUUCUGUCAAAAUAUUUACUUUUUGCUUAUUACUGAAGUCUGAGAUCUAUAAUUGCAAAUCGGUGUUAAACCAAUAGAUAUGGUUUACUGGAAAGUUAGCCCCAGAGGAGUAUGUCACUGUUGGAAGAAAAUUAAAUGUAACUUUAAAAUAGAAGUGUUGUCCAACCUGUCAUCAAAUUUGCCUCAGGGGUAAUGUCCGUGUAAAACAAUUACAAUGUACCAUAUUUAUAUUUAGAACAUGUUCUGUUAAGUAUAAAAACCAUAUUCCAUAACGUAAUCAAUUUUAAUUAUAGUUAAUCUUGAACUCCAUCAAUUCUGCUGAAUAAAUAGGAAUUGAAUUGCAUCACUCCAAGGCAUCGCUUACAGAUAACGUACAGAUAAACUAUAAUUGUUCCAUCCGUUUAUGGUUUAUAAUUGUAAUGCUGACAGAUCGGUAGGACUUAACACGUACAGCAAAGUCAACAGGUCAAUGUAUAUAUCGAAUGACCACCAAAUCCACGAACUGUAACUGGAAUCUAUAAGUGGUUUUUAGUCCAAUUACUUAUGUCCAGUCGGUCAAGCAAUAUGUCCGUGUUUAAUAAUUCAACGUUGCUAUCAUUUGAUCACGUAGAACUCGAUGACACCUGUUCGAUUUCCAUGAUUAAAACUAAUUGCCAUCUUAAAAAUAUGAACUAUUCAGUAUACUAUUUCUGUCUCGAACUCUUUGUAAACUUUGUAAUUAGUGAAUUCAUGCAAAUUUAGUAAAUAACAAUUUCAUCCUUCACGUAGUCAUAUUGGCUGUGAAAUAAACGCAUAUAUUUCCUACCAGGUUCUAUAUAGUUACAUCCUAAUUAGUGAUAUAUAUGUAAAUAUAUUGUUCACUCUAUUAUACUUCAUAAAGUUAUCU